CUACGCACUCCUACGGGAGGCAGCAGUGGGGAAUAUUGCACAAUGGGCGCAAGCCUGAUGCAGCCAUGCCGCGUGUAUGAAGAAGGCCUUCGGGUUGUAAAGUACUUUCAGCAGUGAGGAAGGUGGGUAUGUUAAUAGCAUACUCAUUUGACGUUAGCUGCAGAAGAAGCACCGGCUAACUCCGUGCCAGCAGCCGCGGUAAUACGGAGGGUGCGAGCGUUAAUCGGAAUUACUGGGCGUAAAGCGCAUGCAGGUGGUUUGUUAAGUCAGAUGUGAAAGCCCGGGGCUCAACCUCGGAAUUGCAUUUGAAACUGGCAAACUAGAGUACUGUAGAGGGGGUAGAAUUUCAGGUGUAGCGGUGAAAUGCGUAGAGAUCUGAAGGAAUACCGGUGGCGAAGGCGGCCCCCUGGACAGAUACUGACACUCAGAUGCGAAAGCGUGGGGAGCAAACAGGAUUAGAUACCCUGGUAG
rnacentral:rRNA from 1 species